rnacentral:rRNA from 1 species
CAGGAAUAACGACAUGCAGAUACAUGCGACGUCGAGCGGACAGAUGGGUAGCUUGCUCCCUGAUGUUAGCGGCGGACGGGUGAGUAACACGUGGGUAACCUGCCUGUAAGACUGGGAUAACUCCGGGAAACCGGGGCUAAUACCGGAUGCUUGUUUGAACCGCAGGUUCAAACAUAAAAGGUGGCUUCGGCUACCACUUACAGAUGGACCCGCGGCGCAUAGCUAGUUGGUGAGGUAAUGGCUCACCAAGGCAACGAUGCGUAGCCGACCUGAGAGGGUGAUCGGCCACACUGGGACUGAGACACGGCCCAGACUCCUACGGGAGGCAGCAGUAGGGAAUCUUCCGCAAUGGACGAAAGUCUGACGGAGCAACGCCGCGUGAGUGAUGAAGGUUUUCGGAUCGUAAAGCUCUGUUGUUAGGGAAGAACAAGUACCGUUCGAAUAGGGCGGUACCUUGACGGUACCUAACCAGAAAGCCACGGCUAACUACGUGCCAGCAGCCGCGGUAAUACGUAGGUGGCAAGCGUUGUCCGGAAUUAUUGGGCGUAAAGGGCUCGCAGGCGGUUCCUUAAGUCUGAUGUGAAAGCCCCCGGCUCAACCGGGGAGGGUCAUUGGAAACUGGGGAACUUGAGUGCAGAAGAGGAGAGUGGAAUUCCACGUGUAGCGGUGAAAUGCGUAGAGAUGUGGAGGAACACCAGUGGCGAAGGCGACUCUCUGGUCUGUAACUGACGCUGAGGAGCGAAAGCGUGGGGAGCGAACAGGAUUAGAUACCCUGGUAGUCCACGCCGUAAACGAUGAGUGCUAAGUGUUAGGGGGUUUCCGCCCCUUAGUGCUGCAGCUAACGCAUUAAGCACUCCGCCUGGGGAGUACGGUCGCAAGACUGAAACUCAAAGGAAUUGACGGGGGCCCGCACAAGCGGUGGAGCAUGUGGUUUAAUUCGAAGCAACGCGAAGAACCUUACCAGGUCUUGACAUCCUCUGACAUCCUAGAGAUAGGACGUCCCCUUCGGGGGCAGAGUGACAGUGGUGCAUGGUUGUCGUCAGCUCGUGUCGUGAGAUGUUUGGGUUAGUCCCGCACGAGCGCACCCUGAUCUUAGUGCAGCAUUCAGUGGGCACUCUAGUGACUGCGUGACAACCGAGAAAAAGUGGAUGACGUCAAUCAUCAUGCCCUUAUUGACUGGCUACCACCUGCUACAUUGGACGGACAGGGCACGAACCGAGUUAAGCCAAUUCCAAUCUUGUUCUCAGUCCGGAUUGCGAAGUCUGUCAACUCUCACAUCUGUG